GCGGCCUCCCUUCUUAAAAAAAAAGGGGAGGUUCGGGCCGGGCGCUGUGGGGUUGGCCUAUGGUUGAUUAGGUGGUUGGUGGGGUAAGGGCCUACCAAGGCUACUAUCAAUAAUUGGUCUGAGAGGACGACCAGCCACACUGGGACUGAGACACGGCCCAAACUCCUACGGGAGGCAGCAGUGGGGAAUUUUGGACAAUGGGCGAAAGCCUGAUCCAGCAAUGCCGCGUGUGUGAAAAAGGCCUUCGGGUUGUAAAGCACUUUUGUCCGGAAAGAAAUCCUUGGCCCUAAUACGGUCGGGGGAUGACGGUACCGGAAGAAUAAGCACCGGCUAACUACGUGCCACCAGCCGCGGUAAUACGUAGGGUGCGAGCGUUAAUCGGAAUUACUGGGCGUAAAGCGUGCGCACGCGGUUUGCUAAGACCGAUGUGAAAUCCCCCGGGCUCAACCUGGGAACUGCAUUGGUGACUGGCAGGCUAGAGUAUGGCAGAGGGGGGUAGAAUUCCACGUGUAGCAGUGAAAUGSGUAGAGAUGUGGAGGAAUACCGAUGGCGAAGGCAGCCCCCCUGGGCCAAUACUGACGCUCAUGCACGAAAGCGUGGGGAGCAAACAGGAUUUAGAUACCCUGGUAGUCCACGCCCUAAACGAUGUCAACUAGUUGUUGGGGAUUCAUUUCCUUAGUAACGUAGCUAACGCGUGAAGUUGACCGCCUGGGGAGUACGGUCGCAAGAUUAAAACUCAAAGGAAUUGACSGGRACCCGCCCAAGCGGUGGAUGAUGUAGGAUUAAUUCGAUGCAACGCGAAAAACCUUACCUACCCUUGACAUGGUCGGAAUCCUGCUGAGAGGUGGGAGUGCUCGAAAGAGAACCGGCGCACAGGUGCUGCAUGGCUGUCGUCAGCUCGUGUCGUGAGAUGUUGGGUUAAGUCCCGCAACGAGCGCAACCCUUGUCCUUAGUUGCUACGCAAGAGCACUCUAAGGAGACUGCCGGUGACAAACCGGAGGAAGGUGGGGAUGACGUCAAGUCCUCAUGGCCCUUAUGGGUAGGGCUUCACACGUCAUACAAUGGUCGGAACAGAGGGUUGCCAACCCGCGAGGGGGAGCUAAUCCCAGAAAACCGAUCGUAGUCCGGAUUGCACUCUGCAACUCGAGUGCAUGAAGCUGGAAUCGCUAGUAAUCCCGGAUCAGCAUGCCGCGGUGAAUACGUUCCCGGGUUGGGUACACCCCCCCCGUC
rnacentral:rRNA from 1 species